AUGUGCGUCCUGGAUUUCCAUACUUGCAGAAAAACAGAUGAUUAUUUUUGCGACAAGCUAGGCCUAUUUGUAAAGAAAUAUAGCAGUAGAACGAACGGACUCCUUUGGGUGGGUUUUUAUGUCUUUAUUUUCCGUACAGUCUGUUAUAUAUACAUUAUAUUCCAUCGACAAAGGUUCGACAAGCGCCUACUAAACUUGUCUCUUGAAUAGCCACCCUUCUGUAGCCUAUCAACCGUUUGAAACGGAUGUGUGCACAUCAAGAAGAUACUGAGAAGUGACAGUAGAGGAGACAUCCAACGAGGAGAGCCGACAAGGAUACUUACUAUACGUUCGCGUCCAGUGGAGACAAGGCUUUUAUAAAAGGUAAACACACACAGGCACUCAGGCAUCCAUGUUCUCCCAUGGGAGUCCAUGACAGAUUCUUACUUUGCAUACGUGUCCUUUAUUCCCCUAUAAUAAUUUCGCUGUGGUAAUGUAUGUAAACUACUAUAUUUAUAGACUACGUAGAUUUGAUAAAUUCGACUCCUGUAGGAAAUUUGGUUGAAAUUGUCUCUGAUAAAGGGCACCGACAUAAGAUGCUCGUGACCGGUUGUCUGUCUAGACUGGAUGUCACGGUCCGUUAUGUUGUCCGUCUGACAUGUCUGGACACCGUAUUAUUUUGCCUGUGUAGCCUAAAUGCCACAUUUGAUAUUAUAUCCAAUAUCCCAUAUUCGUUCCUUUAACAUCUCACCACAGGCUGCUUUAUCGAGAAAAAUGACAUGUAGGCUACAUAUGUGUGACUUGAUUGAACGGUCUGUCACAGACUAGAUCAUAUCCAGCCAACCGGAAUAGUGCGCAAUAGUGUUCUGUUAAAGGUGAUAGACCGUUCACGACCAUUCACGACCUAACCUGCCCUUAUUUUCAACAAUGGCCUUUCCAAAAUGUCUCUCAAAUGAGACAUUUUGAGUAAGCCUAGUAUAGUAUAGGCCCUAGUUCCAGAACAUUUGAUUAGAUUGCAGUGAGUUUAGUGGUAGGCCUAUAUGAGACAUUUGGAGUGAUAGAGUUUGUAGCCUAAAUCCAGUUAAANNNNNNNNNNCAGUGCGUCCUGGAUUUCCAUACUUGCAGAAAAACAGAUGAUUAUUUUUGCGACAAGCUAGGCCUAUUUGUAAAGAAAUAUAGCAGUAGAACGAACGGACUCCUUUGGGUGGGUUUUUAUGUCUUUAUUUUCCGUACAGUCUGUUAUAUAUACAUUAUAUUCCAUCGACAAAGGUUCGACAAGCGCCUACUAAACUUGUCUCUUGAAUAGCCACCCUUCUGUAGCCUAUCAACCGUUUGAAACGGAUGUGUG
rnacentral:lncRNA from 13 species